AUUCAGUUGACGAGUCCCAAAUGGGAUGAAAUACGCCUCCUGGAU
rnacentral:hammerhead_ribozyme from 1 species